UACGGAGGGUGCAAGCGUUGUUCGGAAUUAUUGGGCGUAAAGCGCGUGUAGGCGGCUAUUUAAGUCUGAUGUGAAAGCCCGGGGCUCAACCUCGGAAGUGCAUUGGAAACUGUGGGACUUGAGUUUAGGAGGGGGAGCUGGAAUUCCAGGUGUAGGGGUGAAAUCUGUAGAUAUUCGAAGGAACACCGGUGGCGAAGGCGGCUACCUGGACCGAUACUGACGCUGAGACGCGAAAGCGUGGGGAGCAAACAGG
rnacentral:rRNA from 1 species